GCCACGAGGGGGAGCGGGCUUGGCCGGCUCGCAGAGCCAGAGGUAGGGCGCUGGGUGGGGGCGCUCCGUGGGAACCCAUCCCAGAGGGGGCAGGUGCGUGGGAUAGGGGUGAGGAGCAGAGCCCGGGUGCUCCAGGAGUCGACGGGGAUGCUAGUCCCAGGGCCGUUGAGCCCGGCUCGGGAAGUUGGGCUCGGCCCGCACCAGACACGCUGGCUCCAGGGCUCCGGCUGCUGAAGACACGGGGGUGGCCGGGCUGCAGGCUUGGUGCCCACACACGCUCGCCCUGCUGGAGUCAGGGAGGGAGAUGUGACUGGCCGCCCCCGGCGGGCAGACGCGGACAGUUAACAUCGCCCUUCUCCACCUGACCCCCAGACCUGGACUCCAGCAGUGCGCAGGUAGCCCACAAGUGGGGGGAGGGGGUGGAUCAGCCGGGCAGCCACGCGGAGGGACCGUCCACGCUCGGUGUCCCCACGCCCCAGGGGCUGCCUUCUUGUGCGUGCCGUGACUUCGUGAGUGUGUGCCUGUGCCCCAUCUGCGUGUGUGCCCGCGCGUUUGUGCGUUCUGUGUGCGUUCUGUCUGGAGAAACGGGGACCCCCCCACCUCAGCGCCAUGAGGAGAGGGGUGAUGAUGGUCAGAGGGAAUCAGGAACCAGGUGAGAAGGGGCACUGACAGGUAGGCCCUUCAGCUCCACGUACCUCAGGCCGGACUGAGGAGCAAAUGCAGACCUGGAGGUGUGGGCCACGAGCGUGAGGGCAAGGAUGGCCCAGCAGUCCCAGGCUUCUGGACACUCCUGGGACCAGGCAUCGGGCCUACCCUGAAAUGGCUGUGGACCGCUUCAUGGUGGAGCCCCUUUCACUCCAAGUGAACCAGUUCCAGUGCUGCUUAGGGGACCAUAGGAAGGGCCAGGGACUGAGCCGGGAUAAGCUGCAUGCAAGG